rnacentral:rRNA from 2 species
GAACGCUGGCGGCGUGCCUAAUACAUGCAAGUCGAACGAGUUCUCGUUGAUGAUCGGUGCUUGCACCGAGAUUCAACAUGGAACGAGUGGCGGACGGGUGAGUAACACGUGGGUAACCUGCCCUUAAGUGGGGGAUAACAUUUGGAAACAGAUGCUAAUACCGCAUAGAUCCAAGAACCGCAUGGUUCUUGGCUGAAAGAUGGCGUAAGCUAUCGCUUUUGGAUGGACCCGCGGCGUAUUAGCUAGUUGGUGAGGUAAUGGCUCACCAAGGCGAUGAUACGUAGCCGAACUGAGAGGUUGAUCGGCCACAUUGGGACUGAGACACGGCCCAAACUCCUACGGGAGGCAGCAGUAGGGAAUCUUCCACAAUGGACGCAAGUCUGAUGGAGCAACGCCGCGUGAGUGAAGAAGGCUUUCGGGUCGUAAAACUCUGUUGUUGGAGAAGAAUGGUCGGCAGAGUAACUGUUGUCGGCGUGACGGUAUCCAACCAGAAAGCCACGGCUAACUACGUGCCAGCAGCCGCGGUAAUACGUAGGUGGCAAGCGUUAUCCGGAUUUAUUGGGCGUAAAGCGAGCGCAGGCGGUUUUUUAAGUCUGAUGUGAAAGCCCUCGGCUUAACCGAGGAAGCGCAUCGGAAACUGGGAAACUUGAGUGCAGAAGAGGACAGUGGAACUCCAUGUGUAGCGGUGAAAUGCGUAGAUAUAUGGAAGAACACCAGUGGCGAAGGCGGCUGUCUGGUCUGUAACUGACGCUGAGGCUCGAAAGCAUGGGUAGCGAACAGGAUUAGAUACCCUGGUAGUCCAUGCCGUAAACGAUGAAUGCUAGGUGUUGGAGGGUUUCCGCCCUUCAGUGCCGCAGCUAACGCAUUAAGCAUUCCGCCUGGGGAGUACGACCGCAAGGUUGAAACUCAAAGGAAUUGACGGGGGCCCGCACAAGCGGUGGAGCAUGUGGUUUAAUUCGAAGCAACGCGAAGAACCUUACCAGGUCUUGACAUCUUUUGAUCACCUGAGAGAUCAGGUUUCCCCUUCGGGGGCAAAAUGACAGGUGGUGCAUGGUUGUCGUCAGCUCGUGUCGUGAGAUGUUGGGUUAAGUCCCGCAACGAGCGCAACCCUUAUGACUAGUUGCCAGCAUUUAGUUGGGCACUCUAGUAAGACUGCCGGUGACAAACCGGAGGAAGGUGGGGAUGACGUCAAAUCAUCAUGCCCCUUAUGACCUGGGCUACACACGUGCUACAAUGGAUGGUACAACGAGUUGCGAGACCGCGAGGUCAAGCUAAUCUCUUAAAGCCAUUCUCAGUUCGGACUGUAGGCUGCAACUCGCCUACACGAAGUCGGAAUCGCUAGUAAUCGCGGAUCAGCACGCCGCGGUGAAUACGUUCCCGGGCCUUGUACACACCGCCCGUCACACCAUGAGAGUUUGUAACACCCGAAGCCGGUGGCGUAACCCUUUUAGGGAGCGAGCCGUCUAAGGUGGGACAAAUGAUUAGGGUGAA